rnacentral:rRNA from 1 species
UUAAAAUGUAAAUUUUUUAAAACUUAGGUAGUAAUAGUUAUGUUCUUGAAACUUAAAAAAUUUGGCGGUAUUUUAGUCUAUUCAGAGGAACCUGUUUUAUAAUCGAUAAUCCACGGUGGACCUUACUUAAAUUUGUAAUCAGCUUAUAUAUCGUCGUUAUUAGAAUAUUUUAUUAGAAAGUUAAUUUUCAAAAUUUUAUAAGAGAAAAUAUAUCAGAUCAAGGUGUAGCUUAUGUUUAAGUAAAAAUGGGUUACAAUAAAAAUAUUUAUAUGAAUAUAAAUUUGAAAUGUUUAUUGAAGGUGGAUUUGAUAGUAAAAUUAUAAAGAUUAAUAAUUUGAUUUUAGCUCUAAAAUAUG